rnacentral:rRNA from 1 species
UGUUGGGUUAAGUCCCGUAACGAGCGCAACCCUUGUCCUUAGUUACCAGCACGUUAUGGUGGGCACUCUAAGGAGACUGCCGGUGACAAACCGGAGGAAGGUGGGGACGACGUCAAGUCAUCAUGGCCCUUAUGUCCUGGGCUACACACGUGCUACAAUGGCCGGUACAGAGCGCAGCGAAGCCGCGAGGCAAAGCGAAUCGCAAAAAGCCGGUCUCAGUACGGAUUGGAGUCUGAAACCCGACUCCAUGAAGUUGGAAUCGCUAGUAAUCGCGCAUCAGCAUGGCGCGGUGAAUACGUUCCCGGGCCUU